GUCUGUGCUCUCCCCGUGCUCUCUCUCCUCCUGUCUGAACCUCUGUACUUCCUGUUUUACUUUGACAGUCUCCCAUCAGUGUUGCGUUUACUCCUGCCAUGUCUUGUUAUGAUUAUCAGUGUCAGCUGUGUUCCCCGUGUGCUCCCACUUCCCUCGUUAACCCUCUGUGUAUUUAUGUCUGCGUCUCCCUCAGUUCUGUGUCGCGUUCUCCCUCAUAGCUGUGUGUGAUUCUCCCCGUGUCUCCUAGUGUACAUUAUAAUUAGCUUUUCCACGUUUAGUUUGUAUGGUUUUUCUGUCCAGCAAUAAAGCUGUGUUUCCAGGUCAUUCCUGCCUCCAUGAGCUUGCGUUUGGGUCCUCAUCCUGCCUGCACACAGCCUAACCAUGACAUAAGUGGUGCCCAACAUCAUUUCCUGUGUCGGAAAAACUCAGAAACUGGUGUGCUUCUGUCUAUUCACAGUAUGUACUAAUUCAAGACAAAGGUAUUCAUAUUUGUACAUGUAUGUAUGUUAGUUUCAAUAGUUCCGUGUUGCAACAGCCAGUAAAAAUGACAGAAAAAAACUUUUUGACAUUUGACAUGUACUCUCAUUCAAAGGUCUAACCACAUUGUAAAGUACAAAUGAAGUUAGCCCCUCUGUGUUUGUGGUUUGGUCUGCUGCUACUUCCUGUUUGAUGCUGAUGAUUAAAAACUGCCUGACUGAAAGAAACAGACGGUGAAAGCUGCUCAAAUACUUUCACCCACCAAGAUGUCUGCAGACAGUCAGACUGCAGCAGAUUUUAGAGUGAAAUACAGCAGAAGGAUCGACAGUGAUGGACGAGAGCAAGAGUACAGUGAGGUUGAGAUGCUAGAUGAUGAAGAACAACAUCCUGAUGUUGGGCUGCAGGCAGCUGAAUUAAACAUCCAGAUGAAGCUUUCAGCUGUGAAAAGAAGAUGGUUCAGAGCUUUUGAAGUGAAUCUUGGGCUGCUGUAUCUUUUGAUUCUGGCUGGAAUCACCGCACGAUAUAGAAGCCUGGACAAGAAACAUGAAGCCAGCACAGAAGAACCAAAAACUGCAGUUCCUUUAAUGACCACUGGAGGCUGAUUCUGAAAGCGAGUCAGUCCCCACAGACUCCCAUGUUAAAAUGAGCACCUUUCCAGCAUUAAAAGCAGGUUUCCAUUCAUUCAUACAAAAUGAGUUUUGGUCUCUGAGGAUAGUUUCCCCUCUUCAUAAAUGGAUUUUAAUGGAUUCUAUUUAAAUGCAUUUUAAAUGCAUUUCUCUGAUCAAUAAUAUGAGCUGCUGUGUGGUACAGCCUGACCAACAUGUUGUUUUGGUGACUGAGCUUCUAGUAUUUCAUGAGUCUGUUACUUAGUAUUGAAUGCAUUGAUUGAUUGAGCGGUUAAGAGAUGGUCCAGUGUGUGUGACGAGUUAUCUACUGCUCUCUGUUGUUAUUCUGUUUUGUUGUUAGUUCUGUGCGUCUUUCAUAAUGUCAACUCAUUACUGACCUAUCAUUGCUAAGCUCUCCUGGCCCUUCAUCCGUCUACUGCAAAAUGUCUGCACUGUCGACAAGAAAGACUUCAUUUCUUAACCCUGCUCUUGGCUGGAGUACAAGCUUACCUUUGCCAGGAACCACACCCAUCUCGCUGGAGAAGACGCCACUGAUGUCCUGGCGAGCAGCUAGUGAGGCUCCUAGACUUUUUACAUCCUGGUGUUCCCUGGACCCUGUUGGAGCAGGUGCUCUAUCCCACUCGACCCACUCCCCUUCAUCUGGUGUCAGCCUUAGGAAUCUGCGGCAUAUUGCACAGAUUUCACCUACUUCUCCCACUACUGCUUCCUCCUACUGACGUGGUACCCAUUAGAAUAAGUCUGGUGAAUUUAAGGUCCAUCGUGAACAAAACUUUUAUCCUUAAGGAAUGUUUCACGUCCCAGAGUUUGGACCUUCUCUGCGUGACUGAAACACAGAUCUCUCCGGGUGAGUCCAUUGUUUUUUCAGAAUUAUUACCCUACUGUCACUCAUACUUUAAUACCCUGAGGUCCUGGGUCAUGGAGGAGUUUUGGCGACUGUUUAGAAAUUAAAUUUUGACUGUAAGUAGCUGUCCCUUCCAACUGUUUUCUCCAGCUUUGAACCUUUUUCGAGUUGAGGCUCUUUCCUCCGCUGCUGUGCACAGCGAUCUAUUGGUAACCAAAGUACAACAAAGAUUUUUUGUGGGAAUUUUCUUAUGUCAAAAUAUGAGGAAGUUUUAAUUGUUGGGGGCGUUAAUAUUCACAUGUGCUACUCUGGGAAGCCUCUCGUGAAAGACCUCUUAGACUUAUUGGACUCCUUUGGCCGCACUCAGUCAGUGAACGGCCCAACCCAUGAAUGUACCCACACACUGGACCUUGUUUUAUCUUAAGGUUUAUCCAGUUGUAAUUUGAAAAAUUGUUAUGCAGUGUUUUCAGACCACAUUCCCUUUAUUCAAACUGUUAAACCCUUUGCUCUUGCUCUGUGCUGCUGUGAUUUUAACCCUUCCACGGCUGCUCAUGUCUCCACUGUUUUUAAUAAUUUAGACUUGCAGCCCUCUGUGUCUUCCAGCACUGAGGAGCUUUCCGUGUAUUUUAAUUCCUUGUGGCCCCAAUUAAAACCAGGCGAUCAAAGCCCAGAUCAGACCCUUGGUUAAGUGACCAUACCCGUGCCAUCAGAUGGGAGUACCGGAGAAAUGAGUAAAAGUUGAAAAAGGACAAACUGCAAGUCUCUUCCGAGAGACUGAGUGAUAGGUUUGUAGAUUAAACCUAUUCGCUGGAACGUUCAAGACAAUUCAACUACACAGCAAAAAGCAUUGAACACCAAGCAGAGCUCUUUAUGAUUCUCGUAUACGAGGGAGACCAACUGGACAAACGCCGUUCCUUCGCUUGACCCCAGUUGCUGUCGUCCACUCCCCCGUAACACUGAUCUUUUAUUGAGGUUACACGAAUAUACAUAGGUUCAUUAACAUAUGACGUAUACAUACACAGGCAUACACGUGAACAAAAGUGUAUGUUGUGUGUGUGUGUGUGUGUGUGGGGGGGGGUCAAGAUGUGAACCUGUGAAGACUCCCCAAAGCUGGUGCCAGGAGUCUAGCAGUCCAUCUAAACAAAAGGCUCUUAUACUUAACCAGAUACAGAGUAGGUGUCCUCCUAUACCAUAAAUCAGUAAGAGCAGAUAUAACCUCUCCUGACCUUAAGUUGUGUGUGCCGGCCAGAGUGCUCUGGGAGGCACACAGUCUCCACAGACUAUUAAGGAUCAAACCUCUACCAACAUGACAUUGAUUAUAAAACUCUAAGCAUAUAUGAGUAGAUAUUUCUAAGCAUAAAUGACAAUCAACAAUACAAAUCUAACACUAAGAGCUGGUGUUGUUUUCAAAGAACUGCAAAAACUGCUAGAGCAAUAUAUUUUUCAGGUUUUCAGAAACCUGACACUGACCCUUCUGCUUUGUCUAACUUCAGACCGAUCAUCAUUGGCUUUCCCCCCCCCCAAAUCUUGUGAAAGAUUGUGUACACCCAGCUGAAGGCCUUCCUGGAUGAAUGUAAAAUUUUGGAGGAGUUCCACUUUGGAUUUUAAACAAACCACAGCACUGAAUCUGCUCUUUUAAGGGGUUUCAUGACAUAUUUUUUAGCAAUGUUUUCUGGGAACAGAGUUUAACUUGUGCUUUUAAAUUUACAGCUGAUGACCAUGACAUUCUCAUCUCCAGACUGGCGUAGUGGGUUCAGUUCUGCAAUGGUUUAGAUCUGACCUCUCUGACAGGAGUUUCUGUAUCAUGAUGGAUGAUGAUCUCUGGUUCCGCUGCCCUCCCCUGGGGGUACCUCAGGGUUCCAUUCUUUGUCCUCUACUGUUCUCUCUGUAUUUGCUGCCACUUGGUGCUAGUUUUAGAAAGCAUUGUUUCAUUUAUAUGCUAAUGACUGUCAAGUCUAUUUCCCUUUCAGACACAGUGGUUCUCUUCAGCCUCUCCUUGAUUAUCUCAAUGACAUCAGGGGGUGGAUGGCACAGAAUUUUCUCAAUUUUAAUGAAAAAAAGACCGAGGUCAUGCUUUUUAAAUCCAGUACCUCCAGCUGUAUCCCUGCCUUUGACCUUUCCUCUUUGGCUCCGCAUGAAAAAUCCAGAAUCACCAAUUUAGUUGUGAAAAUGGACAGCAGCCGAAAACCUGACUGGCAUGUCAAUGCUGUGGUUAAGUCCUCCAUCUUUCAGUUGAGACGGCUGUCAAAAAUUAAGCCCAUCCUGUCUAGAUGCCACCUAGAGACACUGCUGCAUGAUUUUAACAAGAACAAGAGCACAUAACCAUGGUUUUAGUGUACGUUCACUGGUUUACCGUUCAGUUUCAAAUCCAUUUUAACAUUAUUUUAUUUCUUUUUAAGUCUCUUGGUCUUAAUAGUCUGUACGUGUGCAUGAUUCCUGGCUCAUAUCUUGUGUAUGUUGUGGAGGUGGAGUGAAUGUUCUUGUUGUUCCUUCAAACUCUUCACUCAACACGGUGAUUCUGUGAUUAUAUCAACAAAGCAGACAGGCAGCAGCAUCUGCUGCAGACUGAUGCAGGUGCAGUCACACUAUGUUAGACAGUGACGUCUGUCAUUGUGCCGGCAAAUUAGUUCACUUGGUGUAUUGAGUAGCUAGCAAGUCAGCAUGUGUUAGUUCUAUUCAUGUGAUGGGAAUGAAAAACACAAAACUUCAUUGAUAAAAUGCUUUAAAACUUUAAAUCAGUUUCCUGUUUUGUUUCUAACCAGAUAUUUUAGUCAAUUUGGAAAAAGAGCAUCUCCAGGCUAAUCGUUCAAUGAAAAUAAUUCAAUUAAAGCAAGAAAUCAAGUUGCUAAAGGAGAAGAUCAAAGAGAAGUGUCCUGAUCGAUGGACAAGAUUUGGAAGCAGCUGUUACUUUAAAUCCACUGAGAGUAAAACUUGGUCUGACAGCAGGAGAGACUGUCAGGAUAAAGGAGCUGAUCUGGUGAUGAUAAACAGCAAAGAGGAACAGAUAUUUAUCAAUGAACUGAACAUGAGAGGAGAGUCCUGGACUGGUCUGACAGGCAAAAAGACAUCAGUAGGAUAUAAAUGGGAAUGGGUGGACGGAUCAGCUGUGAAUGAAACGUUGUGGGCACCAGCACAGCUGAGUACGAGUUAUGAUUCCUACGGAGUCUGCUGUGACGAUAAUGGGAAGUUGAAACAAGCAGUUGAACAUUAUGUUGGUUACAGCUCUAAGACCUUCAUCUGUGAGAAAUGAGUUUGGUGCUUGGAUGUAAAUGUUUGAAUAAUCCAACCAAAGACACCUCACUAUGAAAUGUCCUGCAUGAGCCUCAGACUCAGCUCACAGUUGUUACUUGUUCAUUCUGCAUCAUAUAUUGAUUACAUAUAUUGUCCCUCUGUGCUCUGUGCUGUACAGUAAGGUUGGAAGUCAUCCACACAAAAACUUGAAGUACUUCAUUACUCUGUAGUUCCAGCAAAUUGUUCUAAUAAAAGUCAAAGUGCAGCUUGUCUUUGCUUUGGUUUACUUGGUUUAUUCAUCAGUCUGUUGGUCCUAAAACUACAGUAAAUGUCUUCUUCAGUUUCUCUCAAUCAGCUGAAAGUAGCUGCUUCUUAUUAUUAGCUAUAAAUUUUGACAGGAGAUUGAAAUGAAGAA